rnacentral:misc_RNA from 1 species
GAAGCCAAAACCGGACCGGAAGCUGUAUGACAAAUGUGUCUUCGUUUGUUAUGAGAGAGAAGCAUUUUGAAAUUUUCUGAAAAUGGCAACAACGACGGCGGCCAGUCCAACCUCUGAGAAUAAAGUCAAUGUGAAUAGAUAUGAUCGUCAGCUACGGUUAUGGGGUGACCACGGCCAAGCAUGUUUGGAAAAUGCUAAAGUUUGUCUUAUUAAUGCAACUGCUACUGGAACAGAAAUCCUGAAAAACCUUGUUUUACCAGGAAUUGGUUCUUUCACCAUAGUUGAUGGAGACAAAGUGACUGGCGCUGAUGUUGGCAACAACUUCUUCCUUGCUAAAGACACAAUUGGCCAGUCUCGUGCACAUGUAGCAACAAAUCUGUUGAUGGAACUAAAUGAAGAGGUCAGCGGGGAUUACGUGGAAGAGUCACCAGAAAAGCUUUUGGAGAGUAAUCCAGAAUUUUUUAACCGGUUUACUCUUGUUGUGGCAACAAAUCUACAUGAAAAGCCACUCUUGCAGCUUGCGGCUAACCUCCGAGAAGCUGAUAUCCCCCUCUUAAUCUGUCGGUCCUACGGCUUUAUAGGUUAUGCUCGGAUUGUUGCGGCAGAUCACACAAUUAUUGAAUCCCACCCUGAUAAUUCUCAUGAAGAUCUCCGACUGGACUGUCCAUUCCCUGGGCUGAUUGAUUUCUGUGAUAAGUUAAAUUUGAACGACAUGGAUAAAAAAGAACACAGUCAUGUACCUUGGUUGGUCAUCAUAUAUAAAUAUUUGCAGAAAUGGAAAGAAGAGCAUAAUGGCGAACCACCUAAAAAUUACAAAGAGAAAACCCUUAUGAAAGAAACGAUCAGAAAUGGUGUUUUAAUAAAUGAAAAUGGAAAUCCCGAAGAAGAGCAGAAUUUUGAUGAGGCAGUUGAAAACUUGAACACAUCCUUAGUGAGGACUCAUAUCCCUGAAACUGUACAGAAGAUUUUCAACGAUCCAUCUUGCACACAGAUGCAUGCAGAUAGCAAAAACUUCUGGAUCAUGCUGCACGCCAUGAAAGAAUUUACUGAGAACGAAGGCAAAAGUGCUCUACCUUUGAGAGGUACGAUUCCUGAUAUGACAGCAGAUUCUAACCGUUAUAUUCAGUUGCAGAACAUCUACAGAGAGCAAGCACAUAAAGAUGUUACUAAUAUCCUCCAUCGUGUCCAGAACAUUCUGCAGAAAAUUGGAAAGCCAUAUUGCAGCAUCACUGAACAAGAUGUAAAAUUAUUUUGUAAAAACGGAAGCUUUUUACGAGUGAUUCACUGCAGAAGUUUGGCAGAAGAAUAUGAUCCCAAAAGUGCACAGAUUCAAGAAGGACUCCAGCUUGGAGAUGAAGAAGACAGUGAUAUCGUGUUUUAUCUCAUGCUGCGAGCUGCCGAACGUUUCUUUGAAGAGUACAGCCGCUACCCAGGCUGGUAUGAUGAUCAAGUAGAAGGGGACGUUUUUAAAUUAAAGACACACGUUAGCAAGCUCCUCAUGGAAUUAGGCCUCUCAUCUACUUUGAUCAAAGAUGAUUAUAUUCACGAAAUGUGCCGCUACGGUGCAUCAGAGCUGCAUUCUAUUGCUGCAUACAUGGGUGGAGUAAUGUCUCAAGAAGCCAUCAAAAUAAUUACUGGACAAUUCGUGCCUUUCAACAAUACUCUGAUAUAUAAUGCUAUGAAACAGUGCACCACCACACUAGAGUUAUGAGUUAUUACCAAUAUCAGGUCUGAAUAAUAUUACACACACAUACACCACGUAUAUACAUAUACACACAAACAUAUACACACACACAUACAUACAUACAUAUACA